ensembl:lncRNA
CUAAAUCUCGACUUAAUCAUAUAUUGGCUGUUUGAUGUUAGGGAAGCUAAGUGGCCUCUCCAAGAUCCUAUGUGUUCAUUUGUAAAAUGAGGCUACACAUAACUCAUUUAUCACUGAAUUGUUGGGAAGGUCAAAGGGCAAAAACAUGAAAAGCACACAGCACAAUGCCUGGGACAUAGCGGUCCAUAAUAAAAAGGAGUUAUCUCUAAGUUCCAGUUAUCCCUUGAACAAGACCCACUCUGUUUUUCUCCUCUUCUCAGAAAAAGUACAUGUUGUAAAAUAAGCAUUCUUCAAAGACAACUUGAAGAUGUCUGGUUAUUUCAAAGCCUGAAAAUUCCAUGAGUUCACAGAAGCUUUCACUAAUUCCACUGAUCUAAAGACAAAAAGGAGAGAUGAAACUGUGUGCCUAAACUCAUUUCUGAUGAUUUCUUCCAUCCUACCCUUUUGCCUCUCUGGGGGUGAUUGUGUCUGUGAAAACCAUUGACAUUGUCAGGAACAGAAUCAGCUUUCAAGAUUGGAAUGCCACAGUAGAGUCUUCUUUUCCUCAGACCAGAAGAGGCUUGGUUGGGUAAGAAUUUUCAGGUCUGAAAGGAGACAGAGCUGGGAUACAGGAAUUGAUACAGAUAAACAGAAGAAACACCUUGGGAGGGUGAUAUGUCAAGAGAGACUAAAACAGAGCAGGAAGAAGAUCUGAAGCAAAAUGAGAUAAGAGCAAAAGACCCUGUCUACAAGUUCUAAUGUGUGUUGCAACCAAAGACUGACCACGUCCUACAAAAUCCCAAAUUACGUAAUUAUGAUGCGUAGUGGACACUUUCUCAUAAAAAAUGAGAGAUUUGUUUUCCCUUUUAUGGCUAAAGAGAAAAGCAUGAGAAGUUACCCCAUUAGGAACUACAGAGUGCCAUCAUGUGAGCUGGUAUGUUUAAGAGCAUACUUUUUGAAUAGAAGAAUAUAGGUCUGAAAAUGUCACCCAUUGGCAAUAUGUAUAUGCUGCUGCUGCUGCUGCUAAUUCACUUCAGUCGUGUCUGAAUCUGUAAGACCCCAGACAGGGCUUCCCUGUCCCUGGGAUUCUCCAGGCAAGAACACUGGAGUGGGUU